rnacentral:rRNA from 1 species
AUUGAACGCUGGCGGCAGGCCUAACACAUGCAAGUCGAACGGAGUGGCGGACGGGUGAGUAAUGUCUGGGAAACUGCCUGAUGGAGGGGGAUAACUACUGGAAACGGUAGCUAAUACCGCAUACUAUCAGAUGAGCCUAGGUCGGAUUAGCUAGUUGGUGGGGUAAAGGCCCACCAAGGCGACGAUCCGUACCUGGUCUGAGAGGAUGAUCAGCCACACUGGAACUGAGACACGGUCCAGACGCCUACGGGAGGCAGCAGUGGGGAAUAUUGGACAAUGGGCGAAAGCCUGAUGCAGCCAUGCCGCGUGUGUGAAGAAGGUCUUCGGAUUGUAAAGCACUUUAAGUUGGGAGGCGUUACCAACAGAAUAAGCACCGGCUAACUUCGUGCCAGCAGCCGCGGUAAUAC